rnacentral:rRNA from 1 species
GACGGGGGGAGCAAGCGUUGUUCGGAAUUACUGGGCGUAAAGGGCGUGUAGGCGGUCAGGUAAGUGGGAUGCGAAAUGCCCCGGCUCACCCGGGGACCGGCAUCCCAUACUGCUUGGCUUGAGUACGGGAGAGGAUGGGGGAAUUCCUGGUGUAGCGGUGAAAUGCGUAGAUAUCAGGAGGAACACCGGUGGCGAAGGCGCCCAUCUGGCCCGAUACUGACGCUGAGGCGCGAAAGCUAGGGGAGCAAACGGG